UCGUCAUCCUUCCCUCGCGACAGAAACAGAAGAGUAGGGUUCCUCCCACACAUCCUCCGCCGCCGCUGCACCUGGACCUGGCUGCUUCGGCCUCCGGCCUCCGCACGCCCCUGGCCAGCCGAUCGUUGCCAAGUCGAUCCCCGUCUCACCCCGCAUCCAUCAUCCCAUGGAGCAGGGCUAGCCCGCGGCCAUCCCCUGCUCGUCUUUGGCCCAUCAAGCGGAGCUCGAGCUCGCCGGAUGACGAUCCCUCCGCUGCGGCCUAGGAUCAGCGAUGCGACUCCAGCCCCUCACUGCCGCUCCCUCCGCCGGCCUCCUCAAGCCAGAGACCCGCCUACACCUCGUCGGUCUGAAUCCAGGCCGCGAUGUAGCAGGCAUCCUCGUGGGCGUCUUGACCAGGAUUCAUCCAUGCGCAGUAUCCCGCAGCAUCUUCCAUGCCGCUGCCGUGUGCACCGUUGUAUCCCUCGCGCUCAGUCUCCUCACGGAACUGAGAACAUGUCAAGAUACGGGCGGGUGCCAAGGUUUCAUGGUUCAGAGCAUGUACCUCCCCAGCUCGCCACCACUGGUCAACUAAAGCUGACGGGGUCAUGUAUCACCCGGUACUUGUCGCCGGAGCACGCAUCGAUAGGGAAGUUGAUGGAGAAAUUAAUCGGACGUGUUCUCCUUUCGCACGGAGCUCAUCACCGGACGGCAACCUGUGGACUCGUCAUUCAUAAUAUCUCUUUGUUGUAAACGGUUGCUAUUGUCUGACAUCCAUGAACUGAAAUGCUAACAUGUUCGUACAAAAAUUAAAUUUUUUUGUUGUCCAAUACUUAACUUUCUAGCAAAUAAUCUCCAUUGGAUGCAGUGAUGUUUCCAGCUAACGAGGAGCCCUGAGAUUAUGCAGCUGACGGAAUCAACAAGGGUGUAGCAUUCGCCUUCUACAUUAACUUCUCCCAACACCCGCUUUGUCGUCCCUCUGCCCUGCUCUAUCCUGCUCUGUCCUUGCUCUAUCCUGUCCUUGAUCUAUCCUGCUCUGCGGCCCUCUACCCCCUUGGUUGCAGGUGAGCCUGAUAGGAACUCAACAAGGAUUUUGGAUCAACGCGAUAUGCUAUUUUGUGUUGAGUAGAUGGAAGCUCCAAAGGAUAAUUUUGGAUGCUCUCAUACAUUCUUAUUCUCCUUUAAGGUGCAAGUAAUAUCAUGUGUGCAAGGGAUCGCAUGGACGUUAUUCACAUUGGGGAGAGUACACAUCUCAAAAGAAUAUAAGAGUCAGAUGACGGCGCUCGGUGGCGGAGGUGGGCUCGGAUGGGAGAUAUUUGGCAGGCAGUAUACUUAACGGAUCAAAUCAAAAAAUGGAGUCCUUUCUCACAUUCAAACAUAUACCUCCUACAGGCUACAACAUGCUGCAAAGCGGGAGAAAUGCAGCCGGGAUACGGUUUCCAGCAACAGCUUGUUCCAGGCAUGAGGCCUGGUGGUGCCCAUAUGCCAAAUUACUUUGUUCCAGUUGUCCAACAAGGCCUCAGGGUCCGCGCGCAGGUAUGAGGCGCUCUGGUGCUGGGUCUGGGCAGGGACAGCAAACUCCUCAGCCAUUUCAGCAACAGGAUCUUCACCACAACCAGAUGAGCCGUCGACUUACCGGACCUACCAAGCAAUAAUCUUAGUCGAAUAUAAAAUUUGUAUUUUUUUUGUACGAUUUUUAAAUGUCUAAUAUAGCUACACGCCAUUUUUGAAUGUAAAUAAAGCAGGGCAUUAUAUUGACAUUGCAUUCUUAUGAGUUGCACUCAGAGUAGCAUAAUGAUUGUUCAAUCUCUUUGAGUCUAUUGGAGUGACACGUUGGAUGAGAUGACUAUGAAAUACAUUGUUGGCAUUGUUAGUGAGGUGACUACAACAACGCAAUGGUGAAAGAGGUGAAGUUGAGGGGCUUGUUGGAAAGGUGAAAAGAUGAACAUUUUCUUAAAGAGUGACAUGAUGAUAUUGAUGUGUUCGUUGAUGCUCUAGCCUGAAAAUAAACUGAUUGUAAUUCUACUACCACUAUU